GCAGGUGGUCAUGAUAAAAAAAAUACCUGAGGACCGCAUCUUUGGACCGCAACAUGUUGAUGAGAGUCAGGCCAUCUCAGACCUAAAAAUGCUGGCAAAGCAGUUCCCACCCAUCAAUGAGAAGGCACUUCUCCAAGAAUGGCAGAGCUUUAAAGUGCUUACAACAACUGGAAUCUUAAAAGACAAGUUCCAGCUAGACAUAAUGACUGCAAUGGCAUCUGGGUAUGAGGAGCUACAUCUGCUUUACCCAAACCUGUCCCUCCUAUCAGCAAUCGCCCUCACAAUACCUGUCUCAAGUGUGAAUUGUGAGAGGGAUUUCUCUGCGAUGAACAGGGUUCAUCACCAUCUCUCAAUCUUAGAUUAUAUCAAAAUUGUAAAUAUUACAAAAGUAUAAAAUAAACUUACUCUAAACUUCAUUCACACUUCGUGUAUCGAUCAAGACAGAUUUGCGGAACAGGCUGCAGGGUGACAGCCUGCAUGAAAAUAAACAUCAUCAAUGGACCACUUGUUCAAGAGUGCAACUACCAAAGGGCCCUUGAAUUGUUUUUUUAAAACCAAGAAGGAUAGCCUGUAGCAAUGCUGUAUGUCAGCUCUGCCAUAAGCAGUGACUGAUCACCUUGCACAUUUUGACAAUGUUGUUUUGCACUUUGUAUAGUGUUUGUUAAAAUUGUUUGUUGUUGAGGCAAAUUUAGAAUGUUGUUUUGCACUUUCUUAUUAUUAUAUUUUAUUAAAAGGUUAUAUUUAGUGUUAAAUAAAUAAUUGUUAAAUGUAGUACAGAGUCUGUGGUCUAUCUCACAAAGACGCGAUUUGCAUUUUUAUAUAUAAUUGUGCGUACUGCAAAUUUAUUUUGUUGUAAAUAUUGAGGCGGCAGAGGCCUAGUGGUUCAUGUAGGUUGUCUACAAACCGAAAGGUUGGUAGUUCAAUCCCCGGCUCCACCGGACCAAGUGUCGAGGUGUCCUUGAGCAAGACACCUAACCCCAGCUGGUCCCGACGAGCUGGCUGGCGCCUUGCAUGGCUGACACCGCCGUCGGUGUAUGAAUGUGGGAGUGAAUGGGUGAAUGUGAGGCUAAUUGUAAAGCGCUUUGGAUGGCCAUAGGUCUGUUAAAAGCGCUAUAUAAAUGCAGUCCAUUUACCAUUUAACAUAUAAGCUUACAGAUAGCAGUUAAGAGGCAGUUUGAUUGUGCAUCAGGUUUUAUGUUGGGACUGUUAAUUGUGUUAAACACACUCAGGAAUGUCUGUUCUGUACUGUGCACUGCACAGUGUUUGUUUUUUCACUGAAUUUUUUAUGUUUUGUACAGGAGAGAUUUAUGUUUGGACUGUAAAAAGAAAACAGGAAUUUUAUAUUGUGUUAAACUCUCAGGAAUGUCUAUACUGUGCACUGGACAGUGUUUUUGUUUUGCACUACUCUUUUGAAUUUUUUUGAACAAGAGUUAUGUUGGUACUGUAAAAGAGUAAACAGGCUGUAUAACAAUAAAAUAA